rnacentral:rRNA from 1 species
GAUGAACGAUGGCGGGGGGAGGAAUACAUGCAAGUCGAGCGAACAGACGAGGAGCUUGCUCCUCUGACGUUAGCGGCGGACGGGUGAGUAACACGUGGAUAACCUACCUAUAAGACUGGGAUAACUUCGGGAAACCGGAGCUAAUACCGGAUAAUAUAUUGAACCGCAUGGUUCAAUAGUGAAAGACGGUUUUGCUGUCACUUAUAGAUGGAUCCGCGCCGCAUUAGCUAGUUGGUAAGGUAACGGCUUACCAAGGCAACGAUGCGUAGCCGACCUGAGAGGGUGAUCGGCCACACUGGAACUGAGACACGGUCCAGACUCCUACGGGAGGCAGCAGUAGGGAAUCUUCCGCAAUGGGCGAAAGCUUGACGGAGCAACGCCGCGUGAGUGAUGAAGGUCUUCGGAUCGUAAAACUCUGUUAUUAGGGAAGAACAAAUGUGUAAGUAUCUAUGCACGUCUUGACGGUACCUAAUCAGAAAGCCACGGCUAACUACGUG